GAUGAACGCUGGCGGCGUGCCUAAUACAUGCAAGUCGAGCGAACGGACGAGAAGCUUGCUUCUCUGAUGUCAGCGGCGGACGGGUGAGUAACACGUGGAUAACCUACCUAUAAGACUGGGAUAACUUCGGGAAACCGGAGCUAAUACCGGAUAAUAUUUUGAACCGCAUGGUUCAAAAGCGAAAGACGGUCUUGCUGUCACUUAUAGAUGGAUCCGCGCUGCAUUAGCUAGUUGGUAAGGUAACGGCUUACCAAGGCAACGAUGCAUAGCCGACCUGAGAGGGUGAUCGGCCACACUGGAACUGAGACACGGUCCAGACUCCUACGGGAGGCAGCAGUAGGGAAUCUUCCGCAAUGGGCGAAAGCCUGACGGAGCAACGCCGCGUGAGUGAUGAAGGUCUUCGGAUCGUAAAACUCUGUUAUUAGGGAAGAACAUAUGUGUAAGUAACUGUGCACAUCUUGACGGUACCUAAUCAGAAAGCCACGGCUAACUACGUG
rnacentral:rRNA from 1 species